UCCCGAGUGCUUGCACUCAAUUGGAAAGAGGAGUGGCGGACGGGUGAGUAACACGUGGGUAACCUACCCAUCAGAGGGGGAUAACACUUGGAAACAGGUGCUAAUACCGCAUAACAGUUUAUGCCGCAUGGCAUAAGAGUGAAAGGCGCUUUCGGGUGUCGCUGAUGGAUGGACCCGCGGUGCAUUAGCUAGUUGGUGAGGUAACGGCUCACCAAGGCCACGAUGCAUAGCCGACCUGAGAGGGUGAUCGGCCACACUGGGACUGAGACACGGCCCAGACUCCUACGGGAGGCAGCAGUAGGGAAUCUUCGGCAAUGGACGAAAGUCUGACCGAGCAACGCCGCGUGAGUGAAGAAGGUUUUCGGAUCGUAAAACUCUGUUGUUAGAGAAGAACAAGGACGUUAGUAACUGAACGUCCCCUGACGGUAUCUAACCAGAAAGCCACGGCUAACUACGUGCCAGCAGCCGCGGUAAUACGUAGGUGGCAAGCGUUGUCCGGAUUUAUUGGGCGUAAAGCGAGUGCAGGCGGUUCAAUAAGUCUGAUGUGAAAGCCUUCGGCUCAACCGGAGAAUUGCAUCAGAAACUGUUGAACUUGAGUGCAGAAGAGGAGAGUGGAACUCCAUGUGUAGCGGUGGAAUGCGUAGAUAUAUGGAAGACACCAGUGGCGAA
rnacentral:rRNA from 1 species